AUUGAACGCUGGCGGAAUGCUUUACACAUGCAAGUCGAACGGCAGCACGGACUUCGGUCUGGUGGCGAGUGGCGAACGGGUGAGUAAUGUAUCGGAACGUGCCCAGUCGUGGGGGAUAACGUAGUGAAAAUUACGCUAAUACCGCAUACGAUCUAUGGAUGAAAGCGGGGGAUCGCAAGACCUCGCGCGAUUGGAGCGGCCGAUAUUAGAUUAGGUAGUUGGUGGGGUAAAGGCCCACCAAGCCAACGAUCUGGAGCUGGUCUGAGAGGACGGCCAGCCACACUGGAACUGAGACACGGUCCAGACUCCUACGGGAGGCAGCAGUGGGGAAUUUUGGACAAUGGGCGAAAGCCUGAUCCAGCCAUUCCGCGUGCAGGAUGAAGGCCCUCGGGUUGUAAACUGCUUUUGUACAGAACGAAAAGGUUUCUACUAAUACUAGGAGCUCAUGACGGUACUGUAAGAAUAAGCACCGGCUAACUACGUGCCAGCCGCCGCCGUAA
rnacentral:rRNA from 1 species